rnacentral:rRNA from 1 species
GAACUUAAGCAUAUCAAUAAGCGGAGGAAAAGAAACCAACAGGGAUUGCCUUAGUAACGGCGAGUGAAGCGGCAACAGCUCAAAUUUGAAAUCUGCCUCUAGGCCGAGUUGUAAUUUGUAGAAGAUGCUUCGGGUGUGGCACUGGUCUAAGUUCCUUGGAACAGGACGUCAUAGAGGGUGAGAAUCCCGUACGUGACUGGCUGCCUUCGCCCAUGUGAAGCUCUUUCGACGAGUCGAGUUGUUUGGGAAUGCAGCUCAAAAUGGGUGGUAUAUUUCAUCUAAAGCUAAAUAUUGGCCAGAGACCGAUAGCGCACAAGUAGAGUGAUCGAAAGAUGAAAAGCACUUUGGAAAGAGAGUUAAACAGUACGUGAAAUUGUUGAAAGGGAAGCGCUUGCAACCAGACUUGCGCGCCGUCGAUCAUCCGAGGUUUUCCCCGGUGCACUCGGCGGUGCUCAGGCCAGCAUCGGUUUCGGUGGUUAGAUAAAGGCCUUGGGAAUGUGGCUCCUCCGGGAGUGUUAUAGCCCUCGGUGCAAUGUAGCCUACCGGGACCGAGGACCGCGCUUCGGCUAGGAUGCUGGCAUAAUGGUUGUAAGCGACCCGUCUUGAAACACGGACCAAGGAGUCUAACAUCUAUGCGAGUGUUUGGGUGUCAAACCCAUGCGCGUAAUUAACGUGAACGGAGGUGAGAACCCUUAAGGGUGCAUCAUCGACCGAUCCUGAUGUCUUCGGAUGGAUUUGAGUAAGAGCAUAACUGUUGGGACCCGAAA